UAAUACAUGUGGGGCAAGCGUUGUUCGGAAUUACUGGGCAUAAAGGGUGCGUAGGCGGUUUGUUAAGUCACUGGUGAAAGUUUUCGGCCCAACCGGAAAAUUGCCUGUGAUACUGGCGAACUUGAGUGCGUGAGGGGUGGGGGGAACGAGCAGUGUAGCGGUGAAAUGCGUAGAUAUUGCUCGGAAGGCCGGAGCCGAAGGGGCCCCACUGGUACGUAACUGACGCUGAGGCACGAAAGCGUGGGGAGCAAACAGGAUUAGAUACCCUGGUAGUCCACGCCGUAAACGAUGAUCACUAGGUUGGUGCCGAGCUAUCGGUGCCGGCCGGAGGCAAUUUGGUAAGUGAUCCGCCUGGGGAGUAUGGUCGCAAGGCUG
rnacentral:rRNA from 1 species